AUGCAAAGCAGAGCCUGGCUCUUCUGCACUCAAAACCCCAUCCCAUGGCUCCCGUCCUUCUCAUGCUCUGUAAGACCAGACAAGUCUAGUCUGUGCCUCGCUCCCACCUCCAUCUCUUUGACAUCUUUUUCCACCAGAAGGAGCUUUAGUUUCAGGAUAAAACAUGGCACAGGAAUUCUGAGACUUCUGGAUUUCUGGAAUUCUUCUGUGAACAGGAGAAGAAUAAAUCAAAGAAGAAUUCUUACCUUGAGUGGCUCUGAGGUCCAGAAGGCCAAGUGCCAGAUGACUUGGGAGAUGCCUGAACUCCGAUCAGAGAGAAAUCUCAGCUGAUCAAGGGGCAGCUGUAAGUGCGUCCGCCCUCCAGGCUGCCUGGCACCUGGGAACACUGGCUUUUGCAUUACUUGUCCUCUCAGCAGCCGGAAAAUGACCCAGGGAGAACUGGAUAAAAGUCCCUGGACAGACCAAACGGCGCUGACCCUGAGAAGUCAGGGCUGGUGUGUGUGUGUGGGGCGAGGGGGGUGGCAUGAUGGUGCUAAGGACCACGCAAACCUGUUCCACCCAAUCUGAAUGUUAAAGCCUUACCUACUUUUUACAAGCCUUUGGGGUAAAAGUUUUGGCUUUCCUCCAUGCACCCUAGGAGUAGGCAUGCUGCUUUUCUGUGGCAUGAGGCUUUCCCUCAGAAAUUAUAUAGGAGAAUGCUGGAUGUACAAGUGGAGGGAUAGGUUGGAUGUGUAGUCAUAGGAGUUGCUGGAAAAAAGAAUAAAUGAGAAAAAUCUGUCA
rnacentral:lncRNA from 12 species